CUCAAGCUGGACGCGGCGGCGCCCGGCUCGGGGAAGUCGACGCCGCAGCCGCAGUCGGGCAAAUCCACCCCGAGCAGCGGGGACGUGCAGCUCACCGAGGACGCCGUGCGCCGCUACCUCACGCGCAAGCCCAUGACCACCAAGGACCUGCUCAAGAAGUUCCAGACCAAGAAGACGGGGCUGAGCAGCGAGCAGACGGUGAACGUGCUGGCGCAGAUCCUCAAGCGCCUCAACCCCGAGCGCAAGAUGAUCAACGAGAAGAUGCAUUUUUUCCUCAAAGAGUAGUGCCCCC